rnacentral:rRNA from 1 species
CGAGUAGGCGGAUUUGUAAGUCAGUAGUGAAAUACCACGGCUCAACUGUGGAGGUGCUAUUGAAACUGUAAAUCUUGAGUGAUGGAGAGGCAGACGGAAUUCCCAGUGUAGCAGUGAAAUGCGUAGAGAUUGGGAGGAACACCGGUGGCGAAGGCGGUCUGCUGGACAUUAACUGACGCUGAGGAGCGAAAGCGUGGGGAGCAAACA